AAUUAAAAAUUAAUAAUGUUUUAUUAACAUUAAUAAUAAUAAGUUUUAAAUAAAUAAAUAUUUUAAUAAAAACUGAAAAGGUUAUUUAAUUUUAAUUUAAAAGUAAAUAUUUGUACCUUUAGCAUAAGGGAUUUUUUAAAAAAAUUAAAAAUUUAUUUUUUUCGAAAUCAAUUGAUCUAUUUUAUUUUUAUAAUAUAUAUUGCAAAAUAUUUUUGAAAAAUUAAAUAGAAGUGAAAUUCUUUUCAAAGUUGAGGAUAUCUAAUUUUAAUAAAAAACAAAAAGUUUUCUUAUAAUUAUUAUUAUUAUAUAAAUUUAUAAGUCAAUGUUUAAGGGAUAAGCUUUAAAUAUAAAUUAUAUAAAUUAAUAAUUUUUUUGAAAAAGAAAUAAAAUUUUUCUAGUAUUGUUAUAAAUAAUUAAUAUUAUUUAAUUUAAAUAAUAAUUUUUUAUUGAAAUUUGAAAAAUAUAUUUUAGAUAUAAAUAUGAAAAUAUUAGUAAAAUAAUUUUUUAUAAGUAAAUAAUUUUAUACUAUAAUAUGAAGUAAAAUCAAAUAAAUUUAAAGAAUUCAGCAAAAAAAUUUUUUGACUGUUUAUUAAAAACAAUGUAUUUAGAUUUUAAUAAUUAAAUGUAAAUCCUGCUCAAUGAAUAUUUAAAUUGCUGUAGUAUUUUGACUAUACAAAGGUAUUGUAAUAAGACUUUAAUUGGGUGCUAAGAGAAUGGAUUUUCAAAAAAAUUCUUUUUUAAAUUUAAAAAUUAAAGUUAUUUUUAUUUGUGAAGAAACAAUAAUAUAAAUUAAAGACAAGAAGACCCUAUGAAUUUUGAUCGAUUUAAUAUUAAAUUUAAUAUUUAAUUCGAUUUAAUUGGGGCGAUUAAAAAAUAUUAAAAACUUUUUAAAAUAAAAAGAUCCAUUAAUAAUGAUUACAUGAAAUAAAUACUCUAGGGAUAACAGCGUAAUAAUUUUAGAUAGCUCUUAUAGAAAAAAUAGUUUGCGACCUCGAUGUUGGAUUAGGAUACUUAUUUAAUGAAGAAGUUAAAAUAAGAAGUUUGUUCAACUUUUAAAAUCCUACAUGAUCUGAGUUUAGACCGAUGUGAAUCAGGUUGGUUUCUAUCUUAAUUAAAAAAUUAUUUUUAAUUAGUACGAAAGGAAUUUUAAAAAAAUAUUAAUUAUUAAUGAUUUAACAGUUUUUGCAUCAAUUUUUGGAAUU
rnacentral:rRNA from 1 species